GCGCACUUGCUAAACACACAAAAUCAAAAAGCCAACAACCACAAUCAUCAAUUAUAAUUGAAUUACAAUCCUUUAUGGCUAAACGCAUUAACAGUCGGUGUCAGAUGUAAAGAUACAACUAGGCAACCAAAACAGCAGAGGACUGGGAUGACUGAAUAGCAAAAUAGCAAUGGUUCUAUUCAAUGAACUCAAUAUAUUCCUUAUGAAGCUCCAUGAAACUGCAGUCCUUCAAAAUACCUCUGUUCCUUGAGAAUGCUAGCAAACCUUUCAGAGCCAAUACAUUGAGGCCUCUUUCAUGUACUUAAAUAUUAUGAUUUCAGGACAAAUGUUUAUCAGACCAACAUUUUAUAAGGUAUUGCUUACCCAAGCUACUACUCCUGAUACUUAUCUAUAAACAUUUUGUGGAAAGACCAAUUGG
rnacentral:misc_RNA from 1 species